rnacentral:rRNA from 1 species
GAAAUCAACCGAGAUUCCGCUAGUAGUGGCGAGCGAACGCGGAAGAGGCCAAACCGGAGGUAGCAAUAUUUCCGGGGUUAGGACUGCAAUAUGUAACUUUAAUCUUUAACUGAAUGCUUUGGGAAGAGCAGCGAUACAGGGUGAUAGCCCCGUAAGUGAAAAGGAUUGAGUGCUAGCAGUAUCCAGAGUACCAGCGGACACGUGAAACCCGCUGGGAAGAUGGGGGGACCAUCCUCCAAGCCUAAAUACUACUCAGUGACCGAUAGUGGAGCAGUACCGUGAGGGAAAGGUGAAAAGUACCCCGGGAGGGGAGUGAAAAAGAACCUGAAACCUUGUGCCUACAAGCACCGAGAGUCCGUUAAAGGAUGAUCGGGUACUUUUUGUAGAACGGUCCGGCGAGUUAAUAUUUGCAGCGAGGUUAAGGAACUGGAGUUCCGGAGCCGCAGCGAGAGCGAGUCUGAAAAGGGCGUAUGAAGUUGCAGGUAUUAGACCCGAAACCGGGUGACCUAUCCAUGAGCAGGCUGAAGCGGUGGUAAGACACCGUGGAGGGCCGCACCCACGUCUGUUGAAAAAGCCGGGGAUGACUUGUGGAUAGCGGAGAAAUUCCAAUCGAACUCGGAGAUAGCUGGUUCUCCCCGAAAUAGCUUUAGGGCUAGCGUUAUUUUAGAUUACCGGAGGUAAAGCACUGAAUGGUCUAGGGGCCGCGAGGUUACCAAAGCCUAUCAAACUCUGAAUGCCGGAUAAUUGAUGAAUAGCAGUCAGACUGUGUGAGAUAAGUCUCAUAGUCAAAAGGGAAACAGCCCAGAUCUACAGCUAAGGUCCCAAAUGAACACUAAGUGGAAAAUGAUGUGAAACUGCGAAGACAACCAGGAUGUUGGCUUAGAAGCAGCCACUCAUUCAAAGAGUGCGUAAUAGCUCACUGGUCGAGUGGUUUUGCGCAGAAAAUGUAACGGGGCUAAGUGUUCAACCGAAGCUUAGGCAUUGCAGUAAUGCAUUGGGUAGGGGAGCGUCGUAUGCGGGGUGAAGUCAGAGCGGAAGCACUGGUGGACUGCAUACGAGUGAGAAUGCCGGAAUAAGUAGCGAGAAUUAUGUGAGAAUCAUAAUGGCCGAAAAUCUAAGGUUUCUUGGGGAAGGUUCGUCCGCCCAAGGUUAGUCGGGAGCUAAGCUCAGGCCGAAAGGCGUAGGCGAUGCACAUACGGUAGAAAUUCCGUAACCACCGAACAUUUAAGCUAGAGGGACGCUUUCUUUAAGGUUAUCCCGGGCGAUGGUUGCCCCGGGCGUAAGGGACCGAAAUAUAGUAGGGAAGUAACUGGCGAGAGAGACGAGAAAAGCUCUAGUGUAUACUAAGGUGCCCGUACCGCAAACCGACACAGGUAGAUGGGAUGAGUAUUCUAAGGCCAACGGGAGAAGGGUUGUUAAGGAACUCGGCAAAUUGGCCCCGUAACUUCGGGAUAAGGGGCGCCUGCGAGAGCAGGCCGCAGUGAAAAGGCCCAAGCGACUGUUUAGCAAAAACACAGCUCUCUGCUAAAUCGAAAGAUGACGUAUAGGGGGUGACGCCUGCCCGGUGCUGGAAGGUUAAGGGGAGUGCUUAGCGCAAGCGAAGGUGCGAACUUAAGCCCCAGUAAACGGCGGCCGUAACUAUAACGGUCCUAAGGUAGCGAAAUUCCUUGUCAGGUAAGUUCUGACCCGCACGAAUGGCGUAACGAUUUGGGCACUGUCUCAACAGCCCGCCCGGCGAAAUUGUAGUACCGGUGAAGAUGCCGGUUUCCCGCAACUAGACGGAAAGACCCCAUGGAGCUUCACUGUAGCUUGAUAUUGGAUCUCGGUAUUCCAUGUACAGGAUAGGUGGGAGGCUAGGAAGCGAGCGCGCCAGCGUUCGUGGAGCCAACCUUGGGAUACCACUCUUGGGAUAUUGGGAUUCUAACCUGCGACCAUGAAUCUGGUCGGGGGACACUGUCAGGUGGGCAGUUUGACUGGGGCGGUCGCCUCCAAAAGAGUAACGGAGGCGCUCAAAGGUUCGUUCAGCACGGAUGGAAAUCGUGCACUGAGUGUAAACGCAUAAACGAGCCUAACUGCGAGAAUGACGGUUCGAGCAGUAACGAAAGUUGGAGUUAGUGAUCCGGCGGUAUGUGAAUGGAAAUGCCGUCGCUCAACGGAUAAAAGCUACCCUGGGGAUAACAGGCUGAUCU